ACACCCCCUGUCACUUUGCCAAUUGCACUUACAUCUUUAUUAGUCAUUCAAGUGGGGCGAAGGAAAGAUCUUUUGAAAACAGGCAAAUUGAGUAUUUGUCUUGUAAACUUUCAGGGGAAAUAAAU
ensembl:snoRNA